GACCAGACUCCUACGGGAGGCAGCAGUGGGGAAUAUUGCACAAUGGGGGAAACCCUGAUGCAGCGACGCCGCGUGAGUGAAGAAGUAUUUCGGUAUGUAAAGCUCUAUCAGCAGGGAAGAAGUUGACGGUACCUGAGUAAGAAGCCCCGGCUAACUACGUGCCAGCAGCCGCGGUAAUACGUAGGGGGCAAGCGUUAUCCGGAUUUACUGGGUGUAAAGGGAGCGUAGACGGCAGUGCAAGUCUGAAGUGAAAGCCCCGGGCUUAACCCGGGAACUGCUUUGGAAACUGUACGGCUGGAGUGCUGGAGAGGUAAGCGGAAUUCCUAGUGUAGCGGUGAAAUGCGUAGAUAUUAGGAGGAACACCAGUGGCGAAGGCGGCUUACUGGACAGUAACUGACGUUGAGGCUCGAAAGCGUGGGGAGCAAACAGGAUUAGAUACCCCCGUACG
rnacentral:rRNA from 1 species